AUAAAUAAUUGAAAUUAAAAUUAAUAAUAAAGUUCAUUAAUAAAUAAAAUGAACUUCACUGGUUUGGGGUUUGACUUUGUUGGUAGGGCACUUGCCUGGCAUAUGGGAAGCCCUAGAAUCAGUAUCAGUUUGUCUUGUUUUGUUUUGUUUUUAAAGAUUUAUUUACUUAUUAUAUAUAAGUACACUGUAGCUGUCUUCAGACACACCAGAAGAGGGCAUCAGAUCUCAUUAUAAAUGGUUGUGAGCCACCAUGUGGUUGCUGGGAUUUGAACUCAGCACCUCUGGAAGAGCAGUCAGUGCUUUUAACCUCUGAGCCAUCUCUCCAGGCCCAGUAUCAGUUUUUUGGUGGGUUUUUUUGUUUUUUUGUUUGUUUGUUUGUUUUGUUUUGUUUUGUUUGUUUUUUGUGGGUUUUUUUGUUUUUUGGGUUUUUUUGCUUUUGGCUCAUAAAAAACAAAAGCAUCUUAUUUUGUUGAACAUGUUUUUCCAGUAUCUUAAGAGAACUUUAUUUCAAAAUAUCUUUUAAUAUAGCUGUGCAUCUGAUCAAGUGGAAAAAUACAAACUAGAUAUUGCCCAGUUAGAAGAAGAUUUGAAAGAGAAGGAUCGUGAGAUUUUAUGCCUUAAGCAAUCUCUUGAGGAAAAGGUUUCCUUUUCUAAGCAAAUAGAAGACCUGACUGUUAAAUGUCAGCUGCUUGAAGCAGAAAGAGGUACUGUGCUAUUUCUAUCGCUUUGCUCUGUGAAGACUUAGAUAUGCUACUUAUAAAAAUGAAGCUGUAUGAACACGACAUUUUCAUAAUUAUAUGAAUAACAAUA
rnacentral:lncRNA from 1 species